UACGAAGGGAGCUAGCGUUGUUCGGAAUUACUGGGCGUAAAGGGCGCGUAGGCGGGUUUCCAAGUCGGGGGUGAAAUUCCGGGGCUCAACCCUGGGACGGCCUUCAAUACUGGGAGCCUGGAGAUCGGGAGAGGUGAGUGGAAUUCCGAGUGUAGAGGUGAAAUUCGUAGAUAUUCGGAGGAACACCAGAAGCGAAGGCGGCUCACUGGCCCGAGACUGACGCUGAGGUGCGAAAGCGUGGGGAGCAAACAGG
rnacentral:rRNA from 1 species